rfam:Peptoniphilus harei ACS-146-V-Sch2b contig00007, whole genome shotgun sequence.
CCAUGCUAAGCGGGAAAUUAGCGAUGUCCUGUACCUGCGAUUCGCUACAGCAGGGCUGAAUUCCCAAUAGAGGAUUUUAAUUUUGCAGUCUGCCCCUUAUAAGUGGUGUUGACGAUUGGGUCCUGCGCAACAGAAACUUGUGAACCGUGUCAGAUCUUGAUCGAAGCAGCACUAAGCAAGAUCUUUUGUGUGCCGCAAGGGUCGCCUAAUCUGAGCUAACUGUAAGGGUAACGUGUGAGGUUAACUUUCGACUUUGGGUGCAUGG